rnacentral:lncRNA from 1 species
AAAGAAUAUUUUGCCCUUAUAACAUUAUUAAUUAUAUACUUUCAAGUGAGAGCAAUAUGACUAAUUAUGCUUAAUUAUUUUUGAAAAUGAUGCUUUAACAAUUUGUAAUGCAGACAUUUGAUGGUCUGGUUCUAUGUUGAGUUCAUGUUGAUACUUGGUCUUAAGGACAGUUAGAGCUGAUAAAAAUAACUUGUGCAUAGACCAGGCGCGGUGGCUCACGCCUGUAAUACCAGCACUUUGGGAGUCUGAGGCGGGCGGAUCACGAGAUCAGGAGAUGGAGACCAUCCUGGCUAACACGGUGAAGCCCCGUCUCUAUUAAAAAUACAAAAAAAAUUAGCCAGGUGCGGUGGCAGGCACCUGUAGUCCCAGCUACUUGGAAGGCUGAGGCAGGAGAAUGGUGUGAACCUUGCAGUGAGCCGAGAUCACGCCACUGCACUACAGCCUGGGCAACAGAGCGAAACCCCGUCUCAAAAAAAAAAAAAAAGAAAGAAAAAAAAAAGAAAUAACUUCUGCACACAUCAUAACAUUCAUACAUAAUGAAUCAUUGAUAUACUCAUUAAAAUGUGACUCAUCCAGGAAAAUCCCAUCCCUAAAUUAUUUAAAGUUUUUGUUUUCCCUCAGCUACUAUUUCUGUUCUACCUUAUGCAAACUAAUGAGAAACCAUUGUCCCAAGACUGGUGGCCUCCUGGCAUGGUUGUGCAACAGCUGUUGUCAAACUCCAGAGUCUAAAGUGCACCACGAAAGCCAGAUGGCAGGCCAGAUCCAGCCUCCCUGCUAAAUGAAAUGUUCACUGGCCAGGGAGAAACAACCACGUGGAAAAUUAAAUAAACCCAUGACAUUUGUAGCCAGCAGCUCGGGUGUUUUGUAGGGUUUUCCCUGAGAAGUGGGGACUAAUCGCAUGAAUCACUUUUUUUUUCUUUUUAGAGUCUUAUCUAUUUGUGAAUAAAUGUUUCCAAUUAAAGCAUUGCUACUAAGCCUCAGUUUUCUCACCUCUACCAUGGAGUUAAAAUGUCUACUUCACACUGUCCAUAAAAGAAUUAAGGUGAGCCACCACACCCGGCCCAUCCCACCGCCUUGCUGUGGCAGGGAGAGCAAUAGCCUCUCUUCAUCUCUUUAUAAGGGCACCAAUCCCAUUAUGCCCCCAUGACUUUAUCCAAACCUCAUUAUAGCCCAGGCCCCACCUCCAAAGACUAUCACAUUGGGAAUUAGAGAGCUUCAACAUACAGUUUGAGGGGACUACAAACAUUCCAUUCAUGGCAACUAGGAAUUUAUAGAAACACUCCCUCUAGUGUGCAAAAAAGUAAGUACAAGAAUUUUUGGGGUUUUUUUGUUUUUUGUUUUGUUUUGUUUUGUUUUGUUUUCUGAGACAGGGUCU